rnacentral:rRNA from 1 species
GACGAACGCUGGCGGCGUGCUUAACACAUGCAAGUCGAGCGGUAAGGCCCUUUCGGGGGUACACGAGCGGCGAACGGGUGAGUAACACGUGGGUGACCUGCCCUCAGCUCUGGGAUAAGCCUGGGAAACUGGGUCUAAUACCGGAUAUGACUCCAUGACGCAUGUUGUGGGGUGGAAAGCCUUGUGCGGCUGAGGAUGGGCCCGCGGCCUAUCAGCUUGCUGGUGGGGGAUGGCCUACCAAGGCGACGACGGGUAGCCGGCCUGAGAGGGCGACCGGCCACACUGGGACUGAGACACGGCCCAGACUCCUACGGGAGGCAGCAGUGGGGAAUCUUGCGCAAUGGGCGAAAGCCUGACGCAGCGACGCCGCGUGAGGGAUGACGGCCU